AGUGAACGCUGGCGGUAGGCCUAACACAUGCAAGUCGAACGGCAGCACAGUAAGAGCUUGCUCUUACGGGUGGCGAGUGGCGGACGGGUGAGGAAUACAUCGGAAUCUACUUUUUCGUGGGGGAUAACGUAGGGAAACUUACGCUAAUACCGCAUACGACCUACGGGUGAAAGCAGGGGAUCUUCGUACCUUGCGCGAUUGAAUGAGCCGAUGUCGGAUUAGCUAGUUGGCGGGGUAAAGGCCCACCAAGGCGACGAACCGUAGCUGGUCUGAGUGAAUGAUCAGCCAAGUUGGAACUGAAGCACGGUCAACACUCCGACGGAAGGCAGCAGUGGGGAAUAUUGGACAAUGGGCGCGAGCCUGAUCCAGCCAUACCGCGUGGGUGAAGAAGGCCUUCGGGUUGUAAAGCCCUUUUGUUGGGAAAGAAAAGCAGCAGGUUAAUACCCCGCUGUUAUGACGGUACCCAAAGAAUAAGCACCGGCUAACUUCGUG
rnacentral:rRNA from 1 species